UGUUUCGGCAAGGGGGUCAUCCCGACUUACCAACCCGAUGCAAACUGCGAAUACCGGAGAAUGUUAUCACGGGAGACACACGGCGGGUGCUAACGUCCGUCGUGAAGAGGGAAACAACCCAGACCGCCAGCUAAGGUCCCAAAGUCAUGGUUAAGUGGGAAACGAUGUGGGAAGGCCCAGACAGCCAGGAUGUUGGCUUAGAAGCAGCCAUCAUUUAAAGAAAGCGUAAUAGCUCACUGGUCGAGUCGGCCUGCGCGGAAGAUGUAACGGGGCUAAACCAUGCACCGAAGCUGCGGCAGCGACACUAUGUGUUGUUGGGUAGGGGAGCGUUCUGUAAGCCUGCGAAGGUGUGCUGUGAGGCAUGCUGGAGGUAUCAGAAGUGCGAAUGCUGACAUAAGUAACGAUAAAGCGGGUGAAAAGCCCGCUCGCCGGAAGACCAAGGGUUCCUGUCCAACGUUAAUCGGGGCAGGGUGAGUCGACCCCUAAGGCGAGGCCGAAAGGCGUAGUCGAUGGGAAACAGGUUAAUAUUCCUGUACUUGGUGUUACUGCGAAGGGGGACGGAGAAGGCUAUGUUGGCCGGGCGACGGUUGUCCCGGUUUAAGCGUGUAGGCUGGUUUUCCAGGCAAAUCCGGAAAAUCAAGGCUGAGGCGUGAUGACGAGGCACUACGGUGCUGAAGCAACAAAUGCCCUGCUUCCAGGAAAAGCCUCUAAGCAUCAGGUAACAUCAAAUCGUACCCCAAACCGACACAGGUGGUCAGGUAGAGAAUACCAAGGCGCUUGAGAGAACUCGGGUGAAGGAACUAGGCAAAAUGGUGCCGUAACUUCGGGAGAAGGCACGCUGAUAUGUAGGUGAAGUCCCUCGCGGAUGGAGCUGAAAUCAGUCGAAGAUACCAGCUGGCUGCAACUGUUUAUUAAAACACAGCACUGUGCAAACACGAAAGUGGACGUAUACGGUGUGACGCCUGCCCGGUGCCGGAAGGUUAAUUGAUGGGGUUAGCGCAAGCGAAGCUCUUGAUCGAAGCCCCGGUAAACGGCGGCCGUAACUAUAACGGUCCUAAGGUAGCGAAAUUCCUUGUCGGGUAAGUUCCGACCUGCACGAAUGGCGUAAUGAUGGCCAGGCUGUCUCCACCCGAGACUCAGUGAAAUUGAACUCGCUGUGAAGAUGCAGUGUACCCGCGGCAAGACGGAAAGACCCCGUGAACCUUUACUAUAGCUUGACAC
rnacentral:rRNA from 1 species